GAUGAACGCUGGCGGCGUGCCUAACACAUGCAAGUCGAACGGAAAGACGCGCAUCUGGCGCACUUGAGGUGCGAACGGGAGGGUAACACGACAGUUACCUACCCUUCACUUUGGGAUGACAUCACUUCACUAGGGCGAAUACAGGAUAGGAGCAUCUGCUGCACGGUGGGGGUUGGUAAGUUUCGGCGGUUUGGGAUGGACUUAUGGCUGAUCCGCUUGUUGGUGGGGUAGUGGCUCACCAAGGGGGUGACCGAUAGCCCGCCUGGGAGGGUGACCGGCCACAAUGGGACUGAGGUACGGCCCAGACUCCUACCGGCGGCAGCAGUGGAGAAUAUUGCGCAAUAGGCGGACGCCUGAUGCAGCAACGCCGCGUGCGGGAUGACGGCCUUCGAGUUGUGAACCGCUUUGGCCUGAGACGAAGCGUGAGUGACGGUAAUGGGUAAAGAAGCACCGGCUAACUACGUG
rnacentral:rRNA from 1 species